GAGUAAUGAAGCAAGGACCCUCAUGACACAUCUAUGUGGUGCAAGGAACUUGAGCAAACUCAAGAUGCUUGAUGCUCCCCUGAGCAAUAGGAGGAAGGAGCAAAUUUCUCCUUGGAACAUGGCUUGAGAGUUACGCCUCGAUGCUGCUAAGGCUGAGAGCUAUACCAGCUGUAGUUUCUCUGCACAUCCCACUGAUGUUGGUUGGCCAUCCCUGAAUGAAAAGGAAAUGUGCAGGAAA